rnacentral:rRNA from 1 species
ACUGCUCAGUAACACGUGGACAACCUAACCUAAGGUGGGGGAUAACCCCGGGAAACUGGGGAUAAUACCCCAUAGGCUAUGAAUGCUGGAAUGCUUCGUAGUUGAAAGGUGAGCCGCCAUAGGAUGGGUCUGCGGCCGAUUAGGUAGUUGUUGGGGUAACGGCCCAACAAGCCUGUAAUCGGUACGGGUUGUGGGAGCAAGAGCCCGGAGAUGGAUUCUGAGACACGAAUCCAGGCCCUACGGGGCGCAGCAGGCGCGAAAACUUUACAAUGCGGGAAACCGUGAUAAGGGAACUCCGAGUGCCCGUUAAAUCGGGCUGUCCACCAGUUUAAAAAACUGGUGAAGAAAGGGCCGGGCAAGACCGGUGCCAGCCGCCGCGGUAAUACCGGCGGCUCGAGUGGUGGCCACUAUUACUGGGCUUAAAGCGUUCGUAGCUGGUUUGUUAAGUCUCUGGGGAAAUCUUCCGGCUUAACCGGAAGGCGUCUCAGGGAUACUGGCAGACUAGGGACCGGAAGAGGUGAGGGGUACUUCAGGGGUAGGAGUGAAAUCCUGUAAUCCUUGAGGGACCACCUGUGGCGAAGGCGCCUCACCAGGACGGCUCCGACAGUGAGGGACGAAAGCUGGGGGAGCAAACCGGAUUAGAUACCCGGGUAGUCCCAGCCGUAAACGAUGUGCGUUAGGUGUAUCGGUGACCACGAGUCACCGAGGUGCCGAAGAGAAAUCGUGAAACGUACCGCCUGGGAAGUACGGUCGCAAGGCUGAAACUUAAAGGAAUUGGCGGGGGAGCAC